rnacentral:rRNA from 1 species
GAUGAACGCUGGCGGCGUGCCUAAUACAUGCAAGUCGAGCGAACAGACGAGGAGCUUGCUCCUCUGACGUUAGCGGCGGACGGGUGAGUAACACGUGGAUAACCUACCUAUAAGACUGGGAUAACUUCGGGAAACCGGAGCUAAUACCGGAUAAUAUAUUGAACCGCAUGGUUCAAUAGUGAAAGACGGUUUUGCUGUCACUUAUAGAUGGAUCCGCGCCGCAUUAGCUAGUUGGUAAGGUAACGGCUUACCAAGGCAACGAUGCGUAGCGGACCUGAGAGGGUGAUCGGCCACACUGGAACUGAGACACGGUCCCGACUCCUACGGGAGGCAGCAGUAGGGAAUCUUCCGCAAUGGGCGAAAGCCUGACGGAGCAACGCCGCGUGAGUGAUGAAGGUCUUCGGAUCGUAAAACUCUGUUAUUAGGGAAGAACAAAUGUGUAAGUAACUAUGCACGUCUUGACGGUACCUAAUCAGAAAGCCACGGCUAACUACGUG